GCAGGGUCACUACAUUUAACCAUACUGUGUGCAGUGCUCCACUCCAAAGAGUGCCAUUCAGGUGUAGGAAAGUAUGAUUGGCACUUUUUUGAGUGUGGUAAUUCACAACAUAUACGACCACAUGUGUUGGCCCUGGG
ensembl:miRNA